rnacentral:lncRNA from 1 species
CCCCAGGAUGGUGCCAUCAUCUCAUAUUUCAGGGAUCUGAAGAGAAUUUGCCUUGUACCAGGAAGGACAAGGUGGAGAGGCAGGACCAGCUUCAUGUAUGAAAUUAUUUGGUUUCACCUGGGAUUGAAUUCACCUGGGAAAGGUUGUUACACUGGACAUGGGAAAAUUGGAAGUUUCACAGCCUCCCAUCUCACCCAGUGGGCAGAGGGCUCUGGCACCCUAAGCCAGUGAAAACUGUAAAAAAGCUGUAUCAUACUGCAAAGGACCUAAAAGGAUCAGCUCCUGCUGUGGGAAGAAAAGCAGGAGAUUAUUCCUGCCACGUGGCUGAGGGAAGCUGAGAGGCUUUUGGAGAUCUGUGCCUGCACAUUCCUGCUGAGCAUGAAUGGAACAGAGCAAAAGGAGCUGAGGAAAGGAUGUUGGGCAAUGCUCUGGUGUGUCAGGUGGAGUUCAGCAAGCUGAGCAUAAAAGUGAUGCUGCACAAAAACUCUGCUGAUGCCUGUGUAAAAAAAGCAUUUCUGUGACCAGGACCUGCAAGACAGCUCAAUCUGCUUGGGCUAGGUCUAAGAAUAUUUUUAUUCACAUCUCUGACUGGCAUCCCGACUGCUCUGAGUGAAAUUUCUCUGUUGUCGCUCAUGGAAAACCUCUUUGUGUCAAUGUCUGGGCUCUAAUAUUAGUCCCUGCUGUUUGCUGGUGUUGGCAUGUGUGGCUCUGGAAGGAAUGGCUCUUGGAGAGGAUGAUUAUUUCACCCUCUGUAGCUCCUUCUUCUCCUCUUUUUCCUCCAUUAGCACUUGAGAUAAGGAAAUUACAAUUUCUUACUUCAACAGUUCAGAGCUCUCUUGGUUUGCUUGCUGUGCCUCAGUGAUAUUCUCUCUUGUACCCCAGGUGUGCUGCUGAAGGAAUUUGGGUCCCAUCAUGCAGAAAAAGCUGCUCUCUGAUUUGCUUUUUUUGGUGAAAGGAGUUUCCAAGAAAAAUGGGUUUUCUGUAUAUUGUCUACUUGAAUUACUAAGCAGCUCUAAUUAACAAUAAAGCAAGCAACUGCACAAACA